CCUACGGGUGGCAGCAGUGAGGAAUAUUGGUCAAUGGACGCAAGUCUGAACCAGCCAUGCCGCGUGCAGGAUGACGGCUCUAUGAGUUGUAAACUGCUUUUGUACGAGGGUAAACCCCGAUACGUGUAUCGGGUUGAAAGUAUCUUACGAAUAAGGAUCGGCUAACUCCGUGCCAGCAGCCGCGGUAAUACGGAGGAUCCGAGCGUUAUCCGGAUUUAUUGGGUUUAAAGGGUGCGUAGGCGGUUUGAUAAGUUAGAGGUGAAAGGUCGCGGCUCAACCCCGAAAGUGCCUCUAAUACUGUUUGACUAGAGAAUAGUUGCGGUAGGCGGAAUGUAUGGUGUAGCGGUGAAAUGCUUAGAGAUCAUACAGAACACCGAUUGCGAAGGCAGCUUACCAAACUAUAUCUGACGUUGAGGCACGAAAGCGUGGGUAGCAAACAGGAUUAGAUACCCGAGUAGUC
rnacentral:rRNA from 1 species